rnacentral:rRNA from 1 species
AAUGAACGCUGGCGGCAUGCCUAACACAUGCAAGUCGAACGAAGCCUUCGGGCUUAGUGGCGCACGGGUGCGUAACGCGUGGGAAUCUGCCCUUGGGUUCGGAAUAACAGUUAGAAAUGACUGCUAAUACCGAAUGAUGUCGUAAGACCAAAGAUUUAUCGCCCAGGGAUGAGCCCGCGUAGGAUUAGCUAGUUGGUGUGGUAAAGGCGCACCAAGGCGACGAUCCUUAGCUGGUCUGAGAGGAUGAUCAGCCACACUGGGACUGAGACACGGCCCAGACUCCUACGGGAGGCAGCAGUGGGGAAUAUUGGACAAUGGGCGAAAGCCUGAUCCAGCAAUGCCGCGUGAGUGAUGAAGGCCUUAGGGUUGUAAAGCUCUUUACCCGGGAUGAUAAUGACAGUACCGGGAGAAUAAGCUACCGGCUAACUCCGUGCCAGCAGCCGCGGUAAU